rnacentral:rRNA from 1 species
AUGGCUCAGGACGAACGCUGGCGGCGUGCUUAACACAUGCAAGUCGAGCGAUGAAGCUUCUCGGAAGUGGAUUAGCGGCGGACGGGUGAGUAACACGUGGGUAACCUGCCUCAGUAGAGGGGAAUAGCCUUCCGAAAGGAAGAUUAAUACCGCAUAAGAUUGUAAUAUCGCAUGAUAUAGCAAUUAAAGGAGUAAUCCGCUAUGAGAUGGACCCGCGUCGCAUUAGCUAGUUGGUGAGGUAACGGCUCACCAAGGCGACGAUGCGUAGCCGACCUGAGAGGGUGAUCGGCCACAUUGGGACUGAGACACGGCCCAGACUCCUACGGGAGGCAGCAGUGGGGAAUAUUGCACAAUGGGGGAAACCCUGAUGCAGCAAACCGCCGCGUGAGUGAUGACGGUCUUCGGAUUGUAAAGCUCUGUCUUCAGGGACGAUAAUGACGGUACCUGAGGAGGAAGCCACGGCUAACUACGUGCCAGCAGCAGC